rnacentral:rRNA from 1 species
UGUAGUCUGCAACCCGACUACAUGAAGCUGGAAUCGCUAGUAAUCGCAGGUCAGCAUACUGCGGUGAAUACGUUCCCGGGUCUUGUACACACCGCCCGUCACACCAUGGGGAGCCGGAAAUGCCCGAAGCCAGUGACCCAACCUUAGGGAGGGAGCUGUCGAAGGUGGAGCCGGUAACUGGGGGUGAAGUCGUAACAAGGUACC